rnacentral:rRNA from 1 species
GUAGUUAAGAUUUAAAGCCUAACUAGCUAUAUGCACGUAGUCGUAACUGAAAGGUUGAUCGACCACAGUGGGCCUGAAUAAAGCCCAUGACGAUUGUCACAGCAGUGAGGAAUAUUGGUCAAUAGCCUAACGGCUGAACCAGCAACUUGGAGGAAUGUAUAGCAAUAGCUACUUGCAUCAUUGUAAUAUGAUGCAAGAUCGACUAUGUCGAAUAAAAUUCUAGGUAGAAUUAUGAUAAUGACAUUGUCUGCCUAUGUGUCUUGACCAAAUUACGUGCCAGCAGUCGCGGUAAUACGUAGAAGACUAGUGUUAUUCAUGUUUAAUCGGUUUAAAGGGUACCUAGACGGUAAAUCAAGCCUAAAAGGAAAUAAAUGAAGGGACUAAUUUACUAGAGUUACUUAUGAGGGGGUAUUAAAGUACUGCUGGUGUAGAGAUGAAAUCUGUCAUACCUCUUUUCAAUAGAAAAAUAAUGGCACAGGUAUAGGCGAAAGCAUCCCCUUAUGUGAUAACUGACGUUGAGGGACGAAGGCUUUGUGUAGCGAACAGGAUUAGAUACCCCAGUAGUCAAAGCAGAAAAUGAUGAAUGUCAUAGAUUAGAUAUAUAAGUUUAUUCUAUAAAUGAAAGUGUAAGCAUUCCACCUCAAGAGUAAUUUGGCAACAUUGGAACUGAAAUCAUUAGACCGUUUCUGAAACCGUAGUGAAGUAUGUUGUUUAAUUUGAUGAUCCGCAAAAAACCUUACCACAAUUUGAAUAUUUAUAUCUUAUAUUG